rnacentral:lncRNA from 1 species
AUUGGAGAGAUGUCCUGCAGUGCUGCCUCCACAGCCUGAGAGAAGAUCCCUGGUGAUAGCUACAGAUUGCAAGACAGCAGCAGCAGCUUCUACAGCAACAACACAAAAUCAAUUUGCUCCAGCAACAGAUCCAGGUUCAAGGUCAGCUGCCGCCAUUAAUGAUUCCCGUAUUCCCUCCUGAUCAACGGACACUGGCUGCAGCUGCCCAGCAAGGAUUCCUCCUCCCUCCAGGCUUCAGCUAUAAGGCUGGAUGUAGUGACCCUUACCCUGUUCAGCUGAUCCCAACUACCAUGGCAGCUGCUGCCGCAGCAACACCAGGCUUAGGCCCACUCCAACUGCAGCAGUUAUAUGCUGCCCAGCUAGCUGCAAUGCAGGUAUCUCCAGGAGGGAAGCUGCCAGGCAUACCCCAAGGCAACCUUGGUGCUGCUGUAUCUCCUACCAGCAUUCACACAGACAAGAGCACAAACAGCCCACCACCCAAAAGCAAGGUUACUUAAAUGACCAUGAUGCUGUCACCAAGGCAAUCCAAGAAGCUCGGCAAAUGAAGGAGCAACUCCGACGGGAACAACAGGUGCU